rnacentral:rRNA from 1 species
GAUGAACGCUGGCGGCGUGCCUAAUACAUGCAAGUCGAGCGAACAGACGAGGAGCUUGCUCCUCUGACGUUAGCGGCGGACGGGUGAGUAACACGUGGAUAACCUACCUAUAAGACUGGGAUAACUUCGGGAAACCGGAGCUAAUACCGGAUAAUAUAUUGAACCGCAUGGUUCAAUAGUGAAAGACGGUUUUGCUGUCACUUAUAGAUGGAUCCGCGCCGCAUUAGCUAGUUGGUAAGGUAACGGCUUACCAAGGCAACGAUGCGUAGCCGACCUGAGAGGGGGAACGGGCCAAACGGAAACUGGACACGGGCCCGACCUCUACGGGGGGGAAGAGGAAGGAAACCUUCGGAAUUGGGCAAAGGCCUAAGGGAGAACGGCGGCGGAGGUAAUAAGGGUCUCGGAUUCGUAAACUUCUGUAAUUAGGAAGAAAAAAAUGUGUAGGUACUAUGCACGUCUUGACGGUACCUAAUCAGAAAGCCACGGCUAACUACGUG